UUUUCAUUUUUUAUCUUUUAUUUUAAUAUUUUAGAAUUAGGUUUUGUUUUAAGAAAAUUAGGUUUAGAAGAGUUUAUUAUUUGAAUUUUGUUCAUUUAAAAUUAGGCCCACUUACUAUACUUUUCCCACACCUUUGUUUUGUUUACACCCCUCCUUGACUUUUCUUUCAUUUCGUUUAUUUUUAAAUCAAUUUAUAAUAAAUUGAU
rnacentral:lncRNA from 1 species